rnacentral:rRNA from 1 species
GAUGAACGCUGGCGGCGUGCUUAACACAUGCAAGUCGAACGAUGGAGCCCAGCUUGCUGGGUGGAUUAGUGGCGAACGGGUGAGUAACACGUGAGUAACCUGCCCUUAACUCUGGGAUAAGCCUGGGAAACUGGGUCUAAUACCGGAUAGGAGCGCCUACCGCAUGGUGGGUUUUGGAAAGAUUUAUCGGUUUUGGCUGGACUCGCGGCCUAUCAGCUCUUUGGUGAGGUAAUGGCUCACCAACGCGACGACGGGUAGCCGGCCUGAGAGGGUGACCGGCCACAAUGGGCCUGAGAGACGGACCAGACUGCUACGGGAGGCAGCAGUGGGGAAUAUUGCACAAUGGGCGAAAGCCUGAUGCAGCGGCGCCGCGUGAGGGAUGACGGCCUUCGGGUUGUAAACCUCUUUCAGUAGGGAAGAAGCGAAAGUGACGGUACCUGCAGAAGAAGCACCGGCUAACUACGUG